GAUGAACGCUGGCGGCGUGCCUAAUACAUGCAAGUCGAGCGAACAGACGAGGAGCUUGCUCCUCUGACGUUAGCGGCGGACGGGUGAGUAACACGUGGAUAACCUACCUAUAAGACUGGGAUAACUUCGGGAAACCGGAGCUAAUACCGGAUAAUAUAUUGAACCGCAUGGUUCAAUAGUGAAAGACGGUUUUGCUGUCACUUAUAGAUGGAUCCGCGCCGCAUUAGCUAGUUGGUAAGGUAACGGCUUACCAAGGCAACGAUGCGUAGCCGACCUGAGAGGGUGAUCGGCCGCACUGGAACUGAGACACGGUCAAGACUACUACGGGAGGCAGCAGUAGGGAAUCUUCCGCAAUGGGCGAAAGCCUGACGGAGCAACGCCGCGUGAGUGAUGAAGGUCUUCGGAUCGUAAAACUCUGUUAUUAGGGAAGAACAAAUGUGUAAGUAACUAUGCACGUCUUGACGGUACCUAAUCAGAAAGCCACGGCUAACUACGUG
rnacentral:rRNA from 1 species